rnacentral:rRNA from 1 species
AUUGAACGCUGGCGGCAUGCCUUACACAUGCAAGUCGAACGGUAACAGGUCUUCGGAUGCUGACGAGUGGCGAACGGGGGAGUAAUACAUCGGAACGUGCCUAGUAGUGGGGGAUAACUACUAGAAAGAGUGGCUAAUACCGCAUGAGAUCUCAGGAUGAAAGCAGGGGAUCGCAAGACCUUGUGCUACUAGAGCGGCCGAUGGCAGAUUAGGUAGUUGGUGGGAUAAAAGCUUACCAAGCCGACGAUCGGUAGCUGGUCUGAGAGGACGAUCAGCCACACUGGGACUGAGACACGGCCCAGACUCCUACGGGAGGCAGCAGUGGGGGAUUUUGGACAAUGGGCGAAAGCCUGAUCCAGCAAUGCCGCGUGCAGGAUGAAGGCCUUCGGGUUGUAAACUGCUUUUGUACGGAACGAAAAGCCCUGGGUUAAUACCCUGGGGUCAUGACGGUACCGUAAGAAUAAGCACCGGCUAACUACGUGCCAGCCGCCGCCGUAA